UAGGGAAUCUUCCGCAAUGGACGAAAGUCUGACGGAGCAACGCCGCGUGAGUGAAGAAGGAUUUCGGUUCGUAAAACUCUGUUGUUAGGGAAGAAAAAAUGUAUAGUAACUAUAUACAAAAGAGACGGUACCUAACCAGAAAGCCACGGCUAACUACGUGCCAGCAGCCGCGGUAAUACGUAGGUGGCAAGCGUUGUCCGGAAUUAUUGGGCGUAAAGCGCGCGCAGGUGGUUUAGAAAGUCUGAUGUGAAAGCCCACGGCUCAACCGUGGAGGGUCGUUGGAAACUAAUAAACUUGAGUGCAGGAGAGAAGAGUGGAAUUCCUAGUGUAGCGGUGAAAUGCGUAGAGAUUAGGAGGAACACCGGUGGCGAAGGCGGCUUUUUGGCCUGCAACUGACACUGAGGCGCGAAAGCGUGGGGAGCAAACAGG
rnacentral:rRNA from 1 species